rnacentral:rRNA from 1 species
GUGUCAGCAGCCGCGGUAACACGUAGGGGGCAAGCGUUGUCCGGAUUUAUUGGGCGUAAAGAGCUCGUAGGCGGCUCGGUAAGUCGGGUGUGAAAACUCGGGGCUCAACCCCGAGACGCCACUCGAUACUGCCAUGGCUUGAGUCCGGUAGGGGAGCGUGGAAUUCCUGGUGUAGCGGUGAAAUGCGCAGAUAUCAGGAGGAACACCGGUGGCGAAGGCGGCGCUCUGGGCCGGUACUGACGCUGAGGAGCGAAAGCGUGGGGAGCAAACAGGAUUAGAAACCCCUGUAGUCC